UACGGAGGGUGCAAGCGUUGUCCGGAUUUAUUGGGUUUAAAGGGUGCGUAGGCGGUUCUUUAAGUCAGUGGUGAAAUACUGCAGCUCAACUGUAGCAUUGCCAUUGAUACUGAAGAACUUGAGUACAGAUGAGGUAGGUGGAAUUUAUGGUGUAGCGGUGAAAUGCAUAGAUACCAUAAAGAACACCGAUUGCGAAGGCAGCUUACUAAGCUGUAACUGACGCUGAGGCACGAAAGCGUGGGGAGCGAACAGG
rnacentral:rRNA from 1 species